GGGAGGAGCCCAGAGCCUGAAUCAGCAUGUGUGUUAGUGGAAGCGUCUGGAAAGGCGCGCGAUACAGGGUGACAGCCCCGUACACAAAAGCGCAUGUGCUGUGAGCUCGAUGAGUAGGGCGGGACACGUGGUAUCCUGUCUGAAUAUGGGGGGACCAUCCUCCAAGGCUAAAUACUCCUGACUGACCGAUAGUGAACCAGUACCGUGAGGGAAAGGCGAAAAGAACCCCGGCGAGGGGAGUGAAAAAGAACCUGAAACCGUGUACGUACAAGCAGUGGGAGCACCCUUUGGGGUGUGACUGCGUACCUUUUGUAUAAUGGGUCAGCGACUUAUAUUCUGUAGCAAGGUUAACCGUAUAGGGGAGCCGGAGGGAAACCGAGUCUUAAUUGGGCGUUAAGUUGCAGGGUAUAGACCCGAAACCCGGUGAUCUAGCCAUGGGCAGGUUGAAGGUUGGGUAACACUAACUGGAGGACCGAACCGACUAAUGUUGAAAAAUUAGCGGAUGACCUGUGGCUGGGGGUGAAAGGCCAAUCAAACCGGGAGAUAGCUGGUUCUCCCCGAAAGCUAUUUAGGUAGCGCCUCGUGAACUCAUCUCCGGGGGUAGAGCACUGUUUCGGCUAGGGGGCCAUCCCGGCUUACCAACCCGAUGCAAACUGCGAAUACCGGAGAAUGUUAUCACGGGAGACACACGGCGGGUGCUAACGUCCGUCGUGAAGAGGGAAACAACCCAGACCGCCAGCUAAGGUCCCAAAGUCAUGGUUAAGUGGGAAACGAUGUGGGAAGGCCCAGACAGCCAGGAUGUUGGCUUAGAAGCAGCCAUCAUUUAAAGAAAGCGUAAUAGCUCACUGGUCGAGUCGGCCUGCGCGGAAGAUGUAACGGGGCUAAACCAU
rnacentral:rRNA from 1 species